rnacentral:tRNA from 1 species
AAAAGCAUAGUAUAAUUUAAUACAUUUCAUUUACACUGAAAAUAUACUUAGCAUAUAAGUUGCCUUUA